GUGUGUGUGUGUGUGUCUGUGAGUAUGUGUCAGUGUGUGUCUGUGAGUGUGUGUCAGUGAGUGUGUGUGUGUCUGUGAGUAUGUGUCAGUGUGUGUCUGUGAGUGUGUGUCAGUGAGUGUGUGUGUGUCAGUGUGUGUGUGUGUCUGUGAGUGUGUCAGUGUGUGUCUGUGAGCGUGUGUCUGUGAGUGUGUGUCAGUGAGUGUGUCAGUGUGUGUCUGUGAGUGUGUGUGUGUGUGGUGUGUCAGUGUGUGUCUGUG
rnacentral:lncRNA from 1 species